rnacentral:misc_RNA from 1 species
CGACGCGGAACAGGUUCAUCGGUGGCCACGUUUGACAGGCUGUUUUACGCGGAUAGCGAUACGGGCCGAUCGAAUAAAUAAGCGUUGUGGACGAGUUAAUUAUACCGGUCGUCGGGGUUCCAUAUUAAUGCGAUCCCGGUGGACCGUUUAUUCGAUGAAAAAGUCCAAAUACGAUCGUGGCGAGGCUUAACGAGAUCCUUUCACGGGAUCCCGUACGAUUGCGACCACGUAACCACGUAUACGUAGCAGGCCACGCGGUAAACGAAAACAUAUCGGUCACCUGUAAUGUGAGAAAAUAUCAAGAGGCAGGAAUGUUCCAUGUAACGAGCUGUUCGUGUUUUAAGGCAUUUUUGAGGCUACCGAUUGCUGCAGAAAUUGGGUUCAGCGUGUUCGUGUGCGGGUACCAGGAAUUCUUUAAAUAUUGUUUAUGAUGGAAUUAAAAAUUAACAAAACACGGGUUAACUCUAGCUAGAUGCAUUUUGACGUUUUAAAAUAUGAAUAUAAUAUAAUGUACGUGUAAUAGCAGAAUGUAAUAGCGACGUAACGAUGCAUUAAAACCGG